rnacentral:rRNA from 1 species
AUACGUAGGGAGCGAGCGUUGUCCGGAAUUAUUGGGCGUAAAGCGCGCGUAGGCGGCCCGAUCAGUCCGCUGUGAAAGUCAAAGGCUCAACCUUUGAAAGCCGGUGGAAACUGUCGGGCUAGAGUACGGAAGAGGCGAGUGGAAUUCCUGGUGUAGCGGUGGAAUGCGCAGAUAUCAGGAGGAACACCAAUAGCGAAGGCAGCUCGCUGGGACGUUACUGACGCUAAGGCGCGAAAGCGUGGGGAGCGAACAGGAUUAGAUACCCUGGUAGUCCACGCCGUAAACGAUGGGCACUAGGUGUGGGAGGUGUCGACUCCUCCCGUGCCGUCGCUAACGCACUAAGUGCCCCGCCUGGGGAGUACGGCCGCAAGGCUAAA